GACGAUGCUGCACAAACUAGAGAUCUUGUUGCUCAACAUCAUCUGCUCACGCCCUCCCCCCUGCAGCUGGCUGAGCUCUUUGCAGACAGAGACAGGGACAAGAAUCAUCCAUCAGAAAGCUCCAGGCUCAUCUCAGCAGCUUUUGCAUUUUUAUCUCAGCAAGGAACCUGUCCAACUUUACUUUCUCCACCCUUCUUAUGUCCGAGGGCUUGGUUUCCUCAGCCAGUUUCCUGUCUGCUCAGGGGAGAUUUUCCUGAGAAGAGCCCACUGCCUUUCUACUGCUCGGCCAUGUUCCUGUUGCUUAUCUCAACACUGGGGAUAUUUGCCCUGCGAGACACCGGAGCCCAGUCAGUGACACAACCUGAUGUCCAUGUCACUGUCUCUGAAGGAGCCCCUCUGGAGCUGAGGUGCAACUAUUCCUAUAGUGGAACUCCUUAUCUCUUCUGGUACAUGCAGCACCCCAACCAAGGAAUCCAGUUUCUACUGAAGUACUUUUCAGGGGACACCCUGGUUAAAGGCAUCAAAGGUUUUGAGGCUGGAUUUAAGAACCAUGAAACCACCUUCCACCUGAGGAAAUCCCGAGGCCUUGGCAGCGAUGCGGCCAAGUACUUCUGUGCUGUGCGUGACACAGUGUCUGGGACUGCAGGGGGAGCUGAACACAAACCACCAUGGUAGGGGAGUUUUUGGAGACUGACGGUCUCUUCCUGUGGUAUUAUCAGAGAUCUCUUGCUGUAUGAUGCCAAAUGAGGCAAAUAGAGCUGAGCAGACUCAGA